rnacentral:tRNA from 1 species
GCCGUCUUAGCUCAGCUGGAGUGCAUGGCUUUUAACCAUGUGGUCAUGGGUUCGAUUCCCACAGACGGCG